AACACCUCAAAGACUUCAAUUUGUUUUGAAUGGCUUUGGACUUGAGCAAUCCCAACACCAGUCUUUACGAUCGGUGGAGGGUUGCUUGAAAUGCAGGUGCAGCUGGACAUUCUCCUGAGCUAAAAGCAUAUUUAUUUAGUCCCGUCAAACGGAUUAUUACUUUUGCUGCAGCUAACAUAAAGGGAGUUUGACCGUAUUGGCUGACUGAUGCAGGAUUUCACAAGGGUCGGCAACGAUUCUUGUAAA
rnacentral:misc_RNA from 1 species